UGGGGUGUAGCUUGGUGGUGGAGUGCAUGCUUAGCAUGCAUAAUGCCCUGGGUUCCAUUCCCAGCACCAUUA
rnacentral:tRNA from 1 species